CAGCCUAGCUGGCCGUCUCGCAGGUCCCUCUCACCCCCUGCGCCGCCGUCGCACCGUGCCCUCCCCCAUUGCGGGCUCUGUCAUUCUCAAACCCAGGUCGACCCACUCUUCCCGCCCACUGGCCCGCCGCAGCUCCCUCCAUUGGCUCGCGGCACCUGUCCGUUUCCUGGGAGAGUUCAGCACCUCCCGGCAGGAAGAGGCUCCGGCCUCAUUGGAUCCCUUUUACAGUUGGAUUCUCCCUCUUGGAUCUGGCUCUGCCUUAGUCCGACCUAGAGGGAUCAGCUUCGCCCACGCCCACUCUCACCCGGAACCUUUCAUCUCUUAUUGAAGCCUUUUAGGCCCAUUGGGAUGUUCAUUAGAACUCUGAAAACUACAGUUCUCCCCUUUAUGAGGACUGCACCACAGCUCGCCCUCUCCUGGGUUCCGGUAAGAAGAGAUUCCAAUACCACUCUUUUUUCAGAAUUCAGAAAGGCAAGAGACCACCUUACUGAGCUUCAAACUGGGGCUGGGAACGCUGCCAUGAAUUGGGCUUGGUCUGUCUGAAGGGAGCCACCUUUUCGACAAUCCUUAGACUUCUUUUGCCUGUUGGAAUUACACCUUGGAUCGUGGCGAAGUCUAUAGAGGUCAGAUUAAGAAGAACCAAAGCAGAAUAAACGUAGAACCCGAUGCUGAGUUCACGAGUGAGGACGACCUCUUCCUAUAUGCUUUGCUAUACCCUGCGUUUUGAACAUUAAGGACGAGAUAGGAGGCCCAUAAUGUUUCUUCUUGCUUUAAUCCUGUCGUGGCAACGUUGACUUCCAGUAAGAAAGCCUGGUUGCAGAGUGAGCCCAUGGGACAGCCCUCUGAAAUUAUACUGCUUACAACCAUGCUGAGUCUGCAAGGACUUCGUCCAAGCCUUUCCGUCCAGGACCUCAAACAGAUCCAAUCACAAGAAGAGAGAUUUCAGGAAAGAGAAAAUUAUUCCUAUCAUCGGGGUUUUUGAAGAACAUGAAAUGACUGGGAAAAUAAUCAUGUUAAGUGGAAAAAAAAAAGAAAUCUAUCUGUUGUAAUUUUCAAAUAAUUUUUAAAUAAAUUUGAAAAAUUAAGAGAACUAUAUAUAUAAUACAUUCCUAAUCUUGUGAAAAAUAUAUAUGCAUUAAUAUUAUUGAAAGAAAUAUAUCAAAAGGUGAACAGCAAUUAUCACCAAUCUAGAUUAUGAGAUUAGGAGUGAUUUUUUUUCUUUGUCCUAUACUAUUUAAUAUUUUCUACCAUUAAAAUAUUCUGAUUUUCUAAUUAGAAUAGUACGUUAGACAAAGAAGGACAAAUAUCACAUGAACUCUCACUCUCUUAUGGAACAGAUCUUGUGGAAUCUAAAAAAGUUGAACUCAUAGAAAAAGAGGAAAAUGAUGGUUACCAGUUAGAAAAAAGGAAUAAGUUCAAGAGAUCUAUUGUACACCAUGGUCAAUAUAGUUAACAAUAUAUUUUAUACUUUAAAAUUGCUAAGGUAGUAGAUUUUAAGUGUUCUCACCACACAAAAAAAUAAGUAUGUGAAAAGCAUAUGGUAAUUAGCUUGAUUUAACCACGCCACAGUGCAUACAUAUGUCAAAACAUCAUGUUGUAUACUAUAAAUAUAUACACUUUUUGUCAAUUUUAAACAGGUUAUAAAAAAACAUGUUAUUGUUGAUAAUUAUGAAAAAUUUUAAUGAUGUGGAAAUGUGUACAGUAUAAUGAUAAAUGAAAGAGUAGUAAAAAUCCUUAUAAAAUAUAA
rnacentral:lncRNA from 1 species